rnacentral:rRNA from 1 species
UACGGAGGGGGUUAGCGUUGUUCGGAAUUACUGGGCGUAAAGCGCACGUAGGCGGAUUAGAAAGUUGGGGGUGAAAUCCCGGGGCUCAACCUCGGAACUGCCUCCAAAACUGCUAGUCUAGAGUUCGAGAGAGGUGAGUGGAGUUCCGAGUGUAGAGGUGAAAUUCGUAGAUAUUCGGAGGAACACCAGUGGCGAAGGCGGCUCACUGGCUCGAUACUGACGCUGAGGUGCGAAAGUGUGGGGAGCAAACAGG